GAUGAAGAACGCAGCGAAAUGCGAUAAGUAAUGUGAAUUGCAGAAUUCAGUGAAUCAUCGAAUCUUUGAACGCACAUUGCGCCCGCCAGUAUUCUGGCGGGCAUGCCUGUUCGAGCGUCAUUUCAACCAUCAAGCCCCCGGCUUGUGUUGGGGACCUGCGGCUGCCGCAGGCCCUGAAAAGCAGUGGCGGGCUCGCUGUCACACCGAGCGUAGUAGCAUACAUCUCGCUCUGGGCGUGCUGCGGGUUCCGGCCGUUAAACCACCUUCAUAACCCAAGGUUGACCUCGGAUCAGGUAGGAAGACCCGCUGAACUAAAGCAUAUCAAUAAGCGGAGGA
rnacentral:misc_RNA from 1 species